rnacentral:misc_RNA from 1 species
CCAUGGUGGGGAAACAACUCAACCGAAGGUCCAUGGUGGGGAAACACCACUACUCAAGGCCCAUGGUGGGGAAACACUACUACUCAAGGUCCAUGGUGGGGAAACACCACUAC